CCUUGGUGACUGUAGUGUGCAAGAUUGUGUGCGGUUUGGUUUCUAAUCUUUCAUUUCUUUCCAACAUGAAAAAAUAACCUUCCUCAGGCAAGAAAAAAACAUUGUACUUGGGGAGUUGCCUUUGAUCAAAGAAAGGGGUAAUAGCUCUUUCCUGAAAAUGGUGACAAGAAUGAAAAAUGGAAAGAAAGAUCUAUUUUAACUAGAAGUAAUGAUUUUGGGGGAGGAAUAGGGAGAGUAUAUGUGAGGAAACAAGGAAGGAAACUGAGAGUAACAGUCACUGAUGCCAGUUUGUGAAAGGGAUGAGGCUGACCAACAUGCCUUGAGGCCAUAUCAGAAAAUUUUAGUUUUCAUAUAAAAUAUUUACAUUUCCAUCUUUUUUUCCUAUAUUAUGAGGGUAAUCAAAAGAAGAAUUUUGGCUUUGUACAGAAUUUUCCUACAUAUUGAUGAAGUAAAAAUGCCAAGUAUAUUCACAUUUUCAAGGUUUUACUGAGAAUAAAGUUUAUACCUAGAAAUGAUUUUAAUACAAGCAAUGGGCUAUCCUAGGAAAACAAAACGGAGAGAGAUGGUCUAACAGGAAUGAUGUAGCAGAAUUAACAUAAAUGCUGCUAUGCUUUGGUUCUGUGUCCCCACCCAUUAUCACGUGUUGAGGGAGGGAAGUGAUAGGAUUAUGGGGGGGUGGGUGGUUUCUCCCAUGCUGUUCUCGUGAUAGCGAGUCUCACGAAAUCUUUUGGUUUUAAAAGAGGCAGUUUUUUCCUGUGCUCCUACUUCCCUCUCUUCUGUCACCUUGUGAAGAAGGUGCCUGCUUCCUCUUCACCUUCCGCCAUGAUUGUCAGCUUCCUGAGGCCACCCCAGACAUGCAGAGCUGUCUGAAGUCUCAGUGGGCUCAACCAGCUCCCCUGUUCAACAUCCGGCAAGGUCCAAACGAAGGUGACAAUCAACAGGGAUCUUAUUGGGAAGCUCUGAUGGUGUCAGAAGUGGGAUCUGAAGUAGAGCCUUAACAAUCUCCAGGACUGCUGAGUGAACAAGCAAGGUACCUGCAAGGACCUACUUUUGUCCCUUGAUCUCUCAAAGUGGCUGGGGAUCAUGGGUAAGUUCUCUCAGAUUUCAGAACUCCAUGGAUUUGUGUUUGGAAUUCUCUGAGUUUCUCUGAACAAAUUUGUGAUCCAAGCAGUUUGAAAGUCAGGACAGAAACUGAACUAGGUCCAGGUUCAGGUUAAAUCUGGUAAUUAGCUGACUUGGAUCCAGCUGGAGGCCUCUCUCUCUCUCUCUUUUUUUUUUUUUUUUUUUUGAGAUGGAGUCUUGCUGUGUCACACAAGCUGGAGUAGAGGGGCAUGAUCUAGGCUCACUGCAACCUCUGCCUCCUGGGUUCAAGAAAUUCUCCUGCCUCAGCCUCCCGAGGAGCUGUGAUUACAGGUGUCCACCA
rnacentral:lncRNA from 10 species